rnacentral:rRNA from 1 species
AGCGAACGCUGGCGGCAGGCCUAACACAUGCAAGUCGAACGAACUCUUCGGAGUUAGUGGCGGACGGGUGAGUAACACGUGGGAACGUGCCUUUAGGUUCGGAAUAACUCAGGGAAACUUGUGCUAAUACCGAAUGUGCCCUUCGGGAGAAAGAUUUAUCGCCUUUAGAGCGGCCCGCGUCUGAUUAGCUAGUUGGUGAGGUAAAGGCUCACCAAGGCUACGAUCAGUAGCUGGUCUGAGAGGAUGACCAGCCACAUUGGGACUGAGACACGGCCCAAACUCCUACGGGAGGCAGCAGUGGGGAAUCUUGCGCAAUGGGCGAAAGCCUGACGCAGCCAUGCCGCGUGGAUGAUGAAGGUCUUAGGAUUGUAAAAUCCUUUCACCGGUGAAGAUAAUGACUGUAGCCGGAGAAGAAGCCCCGGCUAACUUCGUGCCAGCAGCCGCCGUAAAAC